GGAGAGCUGUCCGAGUGGCCGAAGGAGCACGAUUGGAAUUCGUGUGAGCCCUAACCGGGUUCCGAGGGUUCGAAUCCCUCGCUCUCCG
rnacentral:tRNA from 1 species